GUCAAAGUCACACACAUCCUGAGUCUCCAGGCUGAAGUUUCUGAAGUGCAGCGUGAUGACGUGACCGUCCUCAACGGAGAUUUGCCAUACGCAAAACUAAGGCGAUGGAACGAGCUGUCUUCUAGAUGCUCCUGUACCUCCAGCCAGUCAAACAAACAGGGAGAGGGACCCUCAAUAUUCAAAAAGGUCACAUGGAUCUGAAUUAAUUGAGGGGGCGUAGCUUGGAUGACCCACACACACAAGGUGUUGGGGGGAUAGGAGCCCGGGUAGUUUGUCGUAGGGAUGCUGGCAGGGUGGAGUACUGGCACACUGUCUAGCUGGCUUCUGUUUGCAGGAAUUGAAGACACUCACGUGUGAGGAUGAGGGCCAGUGUCAGGCCGAGGGCCACAACCAGGAGCAGGGCAGCGACAGAGACCACUACCUUCCCCCAGCCACAACCUGCACCCCGCAAAGGAUGUCAAAUUCUUCAAUUUCAAUGUUCUCAUCGCAGAAGGUCAUCUGCAACUGUUCCAAAAUCGCAGAGAGAGGUAUGUCUUGCGCUGCCGAUCCCCCGACUGUUUUAUUAGCAGCCGAUUUAUUAUUAGCCAUUUUUUCUUUUGUUCUUCUUCGGAUAUCUUGCCAUCUUUUCUUAACCUCAUCUGGGGUUCUACUUGUUUUACCCACAGCAUUGACUUUCUUACAGAUUGUCUCCCAUAUUGCGUUUCUUCUGUUUAUAUUUAGAUUUCUUUCCUGCAACUCACCAAUGUGCUUGUUUGCUUCUUCCACUAACACUGCCAACUCCAUCACUUCAAACUUCAUUUUGCGCUUGCGGUUCUCUCCCACAUUUUCCAUGCUGAAAACGAUCAGAUGGCGCAAAUCCGAUCAAAGAGGAAAGGUAAAGAUACAAACAUCGGCGUCGCCAACUUGGAUCACAACACUAGGCUAGGCGUUCUUCUUCGUAGAUUGUUUUCAGUAUUUAUUUAUAGCGCCUCUUGUGUUCUGGCACGUCAUUGCACCACUACUACAUUGUUAUUGUCAAAAUGUGAUAUAAAAUCUCUUACUGCCAGGUUCUAAAAUAUCUUUUUAUUUGAGAAAUGAUUCACUACAACAUGCAGAUGUUCAUUGAGCACACUUGAUACACAGCUUUAUGUACAAAAGUACAUUGUUUUGCUUUCUGAGACAAUAUCACCACUCACAUAUUAACCAUUUAGAAUCAAUAUUCUUUCAUUGUUCAUAAAUGUGAUGAGCGCCAUCAGCCUUCAGUGAACUGACGAAAUAAGACUUCUGAUUGGCUGUCUUUAAAGUCAGGGACAAAGUGGAUACUGAGAAUCUCGGAGAAUCCCUCGGAGAGAGCAGGUGCCACAAAGUGCUUCCUGCUCAUCAAGAGAAAGCAAGCAAGACAGGAAGAGUCAUUAGAAAGGAUUCACAUGUAAUCUAGGAAAUAUCAAGACAAAUAAGAU